GCGAGCUGUUCCGGUACGAGCAGCUUGUGGUAUCUAUUGAUACGUCUAUGCCCUGCUCGCAGGGUUCAUAGAGCCUCUUCUACACAUUAUCAAGAGUAAAUCUUGUAUUUGCCAGCCACUCUCCGGUGCCUGGCAUUUUUUUAU
rnacentral:ncRNA from 1 species